rnacentral:lncRNA from 1 species
GGGGGUGUCUAGUCUCUCAAAUAAUGUUUUUGAGAAAGAUAGGUAGCAUGCUAUCUGUUUCGCUUAUUUCAUUUAGAAAUAAAUUUUGCUGGAAAUGUGAAUCAACUAGGAUUCGAACUUAGAUCUCGAGUACCAACCAUCAAGCCCUUUGCCACUUACUGUAGGGACGGUCGGUGUCUUUCAAAAAUAAUGUUAUAGAAACAACCAGAAAAAUAUUUUCUAAAUAAUGUUUCAGAAAAUAUUUUUCUGGUUGAAAAAAAUAUUUUUCGUUCAUUUAAUUUUUACAAAAAAUAAAUUUUUUUUGAAAUUUUUUCUUCUAGAUUUUAUAAAA